AUGUAGGUAUCCUCCCUUUGGUGAGAAAUAACACGAGGAAACUUGUGCUAAUACCUCAUAAGUCUUUACGGAGAAAGCUUUAUGCGCCAAAGGAUGAGCCUGCACUUGAUUAGUUUGUUGGCGGGGUAAUGGCCCACCAAGACGUUGAUCAAUAGCUGAUCUGAGAGGAUGAUCAGCCACAUUGGGACUGAGACACGGCCCAAACUCCUACGGGAGGCAGCAGUAGGGAAUAUUGCACAAUGGAGGAAACUCUGAUGCAGCGAUGCCGCGUGAGUGAAGAAGGCCCUUGGGUUGUAAAGC
rnacentral:rRNA from 1 species